rnacentral:rRNA from 1 species
UACGAAGGGGGCUAGCGUUGCUCGGAAUCACUGGGCGUAAAGCGCACGUAGGCGGCUUUUUAAGUCAGGGGUGAAAUCCUGGAGCACACCUCAGAACUGCCUUUGAUACUGAGAGCUUGAGUCCGGGAGAGGUGAGUGGAACUGCGAGUGUAGAGGUGAAAUUCGUAGAUAUUCGCAAGAACACCAGUGGCGAAGGCGGCUCACUGGCCCGGUACUGACGCUGAGGUGCGAAAGCGUGGGGAGCAAACAGGG